UGGACCAUUGAUGACGACUGGUGCUGAAUAUAGCUUUAUACGGUGAAUAUGACGUGUCUAAAACUCUGAGGUUCAA